rnacentral:rRNA from 1 species
GUCUACGGUCAUGCCAUCCUGAACAAGCCCUAUCCCAUUGGAUCUUGGAAGCUAAGCAAGGUCGGGCCUGGUUAGCAUGUGGAUGGGAGACCACCCAGGAAGACUAGGUGCUAUAGGUG